rnacentral:misc_RNA from 1 species
AACCUAGCACACCUGCGGUGUGUACCUGCGGAGGGAUCAUUACAGAGAUUGAUGCACCAAGUGCAUCACCUCCAACCCCUUGCGAAAACAACUAUCAUGUGUUGCUUUGGCAGUGUUUCCACUGCCAGAGGUUUACAUAAAAUCAGCUGUUUGGAUGUUGUCUGAGUAAACUAUAUGAAUUAUUUAAAACUUUUAACAACGGAUCU